rnacentral:rRNA from 1 species
AGAGUUUGAUCCUGGCUCAGAGCGAACGCUGGCGGCAGGCUUAACACAUGCAAGUCGAGCGGGCACCUUCGGGUGUCAGCGGCAGACGGGUGAGUAACACGUGGGAACGUACCCUUUGGUUCGGAACAACUCCGGGAAACUGGAGCUAAUGCCGGAUACGCCCUUCGGGGGAAAGAUUUAUCGCCAAAGGAUCGGCCCGCGUCUGAUUAGCUAGUUGGUGGGGUAAUGGCCUACCAAGGCGACGAUCAGUAGCUGGUCUGAGAGGAUGAUCAGCCACACUGGGACUGAGACACGGCCCAGACUCCUACGGGAGGCAGCAGUGGGGAAUAUUGGACAAUGGGCGCAAGCCUGAUCCAGCCAUGCCGCGUGAGUGAUGAAGGCCUUAGGGUUGUAAAGCUCUUUCACCCACGACGAUAAUGACGGUAGUGGGAGAAGAAGCCCCGGCUAACUUCGUGCCGGCAGCCGCGGUAAUACGAAGGGGGCUAGCGUUGCUCGGAAUCACUGGGCGUAAAGGGGCGCGUAGGCGGAUUGUUAAGUCAGAGGUGAAAGCCCAGGGCUCAACCCUGGAAUUGCCUUUGAUACUGGCAAUCUUGAGACCGGAAGAGGUUAGUGGAACUGCGAGUGUAGAGGUGAAAUUCGUAGAUAUUCGCAAGAACACCAGUGGCGAAGGCGGCUGACUGGUCCGGUUCUGNNNCUGAGGCGCGAAAGCGUGGGGAGCAAACAGGAUUAGAUACCCUAGUAGUCC